UACGGGGGGAGCAAGCGUUGUUCGGAUUUACUGGGCGUAAAGGGCGCGUAGGCGGCGCAACAUGUCACUUGUGAAAUCUCCGGACUUAACUCGGAGCGGCCAAGUGAUACUGUCGUGCUAGAGUGCGGAAGGGGCUACUGGAAUUCUCGGUGUAGCGGUGAAAUGCGUAGAUAUCGGGAGGAACACCUGUGGCGAAAGCGGCUCACUGGACCAUUACUGACGCUGAGGCUCGAAAGCUAGGGGAGCAAACAGG
rnacentral:rRNA from 1 species